AGUGAACGCUGGCGGUAGGCCUAGCACAUGCAAGUCGAACGGCAGCACAGUAAGAGCUUGCUCUUACGGGUGGCGAGUGGCGGACGGGUGAGGAAUACAUCGGAAUCUACUUUUUCGUGGGGGAUAACGUAGGGAAACUUACGCUAAUACCGCAUACGACCUACGGGUGAAAGCAGGGGAUCUUCGGACCUUGCGCGAUUGAAUGAGCCGAUGUCGGAUUAGCUAGUUGGCGGGGUAAAGGCCCACCAAGGCGACGAUCCGUAGCUGGUCUGAGAGGAUGAUCAGCCACACUGGAACUGAGACACGGUCCAGACUCCUACGGGAGGCAGCAGUGGGGAAUAUUGGACAAUGGGCGCAAGCCUGAUCCAGCCAUACCGCGUGGGUGAAGAAGGCCUUCGGGUUGUAAAGCCCUUUUGUUGGGAAAGAAAAGCAGCAGGUUAAUACCCCGCUGUUCUGACGGUACCCAAAGAAUAAGCAUCGGCUAACUUCG
rnacentral:rRNA from 1 species